UUUAUCUCUGUAGCUUGCUACGGGGAUGGUUAGUGGCAGACGGGUGAGUAAUGCAUAGGAAUCUGCCUAGUAGUAAGGGAUAGCCACUAGAAAUGGUGGGUAAUACUGUAUAAGCCCUGCGGGGGAAAGAUUUAUCGCUACUAGAUGAGCCUAUGUUAGAUUAGCUAGUUGGUAGGGUAAAGGCCUACCAAGGCAGUGAUCUAUAGCUGGUCUGAGAGGAUGAUCAGCCACACUGGAACUGAGAUACGGUCCAGACUCCUACGGGAGGCAGCAGUGGGGAAUAUUGGACAAUGGGCGCAAGCCUGAUCCAGCUAUGCCGCGUGAGUGAGGAAGGCCUUAGGGUUGUAAAACUCUUUCAGUGGGGAAGAUAAUGACGGUACCCACAGAAGAAGUCCCGGCAAACUCA
rnacentral:rRNA from 1 species